UUGAACGCUGGCGGCAGGCCUAACACAUGCCAGUCGAGCGGAUGAAGGGAGCUUGCUCCUGGAUUCAGCGGCGGACGGGUGAGUAAUGCCUAGGAAUCUGCCUGGUAGUGGGGGAUAACGUCCGGAAACGGGCGCUAAUACCGCAUACGUCCUGAGGGAGAAAGUGGGGGAUCUUCGGACCUCACGCUAUCAGAUGAGCCUAGGUCGGAUUAGCUAGUUGGUGGGGUAAAGGCCUACCAAGGCGACGAUCCGUAACUGGUCUGAGAGGAUGAUCAGUCACACUGGAACUGAGACACGGUCCAGACUCCUACGGGAGGCAGCAGUGGGGAAUGUUGGACAAUGGGCGAAAGCCUGAUCCAGCCAUGCCGCGUGUGUGAAGAAGGUCUUCGGAUUGUAAAGCACUUUAAGUUGGGAGGAAGGGCAGUAAGUUAAUACCUUGCUGUUUUGACGUUACCAACAGAAUAAGCACCGGCUAACUUCGUG
rnacentral:rRNA from 1 species